rnacentral:tRNA from 1 species
GGAGGUGUAGCUUAGGGGUAGAGAGCUUGUCUAAUGUGCACAAGGACUUGAGUUCAGUUCCCAGCACCCCCA